rnacentral:rRNA from 1 species
UCCAGUCCUUGCCCAAUCCCACGCCCAGCCCCUUUCCCCUCCAAUUUCCAUAGUCGCGGCACCCUCCCUCCUUCCGCACGAACCCUAGCAAUUGCCAUCCGCCACCCUCGCUCCUCCCAGCCGCCUCCAUGCUCGCUUCCUCCUCCUCCAUCCUCCCAUGCUGGUCUCCCCCUCCCGCAUCUCAUUCAUCUCGUUGGAUCCAACGCGAGGCGAUCUUCUGCGGCGGCGACCCCAUGGAUCCGUCCCUGAGAAGAUGAGAAUGAGAGAGAGAGAGGAAAGAGGAAAGGGAGGUCCAGCGGCGGAGGGGAGAGGGCACCUCUGCCCCUUCCUCUUCCCGCGUCGCCGCCGAGGAUGACGACCGCCUGAUCCAAGAGGCUACACAAGGAUGCGAAGAAGAACAUGAAACACGAGUUGCUUGCCUGCUACAUGGAGGAGGUAAGGCGAACCCAGUCUGUGCCUCCCUUCAUUGGCUAGUUGAUGGAGAUGGUUGAUGGCAACAACGGCUUCGAAGUCCACCACUGUGAGCUGCUCAAGGCGUCUGUCUCGGUUGACCUGCUCCGCCGUCUCCCUUUCCCCUUCUGGUGGCCCCUCCCUACGAAGACGAUGACAGGGAGGAGGGCCCGCCUUUUCCUCAGAGAGGAGGUCGACCGUGGGAGUCUUUGUGUGGAAUGAAGCGAAACAGCAGGAAGGAAAUAGAGCGGGUCGUGUGUCAUCGUGCACAGUCUGCCUUCCAUUGUGUGAGUACUCGCACUUGGAUCGCCCAAUUGUGUGUGCACAGCAGGGGACCAUGCACUGGAACAUCGAAUUCAACCUGCUCACAAGUUGAAGAGAAGGCUACAUAUGCUUUUUGUAGCCAGUACUAAGUAAUCUAAUGAUCCGCUCCUUGCAAUCUAAGAAAAAUAAACAUUCAAGUAAUUUUUGAUCGUAGGUCUGGCUACCAACUAUUUGUGUUUGUGUCUACAAGCUUUUGAAUAUUUUGUCUGGUCUAUUGUUUAUUUGCAAUGUUGGACACUCUUGCCAUUUCCUAUGAUUUUUUUUGUUUGAUCUUACUCUCAAUAAACUGCAUAUUAACUCUGAUGAAUGAGUAUUUUCAGAUUAGAUUGGGUGGCCCCGACAUUGUCUCAGAUCCGAGCGAAUACCAAAAACAUAUGUCAGUUCUGUAGCAUAAAUAGAUUUACAUUUCUUUUCUUUUGCUCCAUUUUUGGUAUGUGUUUUGUCCAUACGAAUUGUUUCACCGAAGCAUGCACAUAGUAGUCAUUGCUUGAGUUAUGAUUGUAACUUACGAUUCUUCAUGUGUUGUUCACUAUAUUUGCCUAUAUGCAUUUAAACGAUGGUGUCCUGCAUAUGUAGUCAGGAAGCUACUAGCAGUACUGUUAGUUAAGGCUUUUCACCCUGUUCAUUAGUUUUACUUUGUGCGUACUGAAAGUAACCAAUAUGCUUCUGGAUCUGUGCUUUGGUAGCCCCGCAAUGUUCUGUUGGAGCACAAGAGAUUAAAGCUUCUGAAGUACUAGACCUGGCAAUUUCUUGUUUUUAGGCCUGUAUGCUCCAUUCUGAUUAUUACACUUCGGCUUGUUGGGCUGUACACCAGUAGGGUCAGCUGGACAUUCACAUUUAUACUGAAAUUUUUCAGUCUCCAUGGCAUUAUAUGCCUUGGUCAUAUUCUAUCACUUGUUUGCCAAGGAGUUGGUAGCUCACAAGCCUCUUGCUAUGUUUUUGUGCAUGAAAGGGAUUGUCUUGUCUUUCUCGCUGGUAAACCACUUCCUCUCCUGGCGUAAAGACUUCUGAAAAUUAUUGUAAUUAUCAUUGGGGUUAGUUUUUUUCCUGUGUGUCUGAAUGUUAUUGAUGUAAUUGUACGCAAGUUUGUCUUCGUGGUUGCAUCGGACAUUUAGUUAAGGUGGCGAUAUUGGUUUAGUAAUGUUGAUAGUUAAGGCCUUUUAUUCUUGCCAUGUUAUCUGCUAUGAUUUUGCAUGAAGCCCUCCUCUCACUCACUCUUUGGAUUUGUUCAGCAUGAUAUUUAAUUACCUUAUUUUGUUAUUAUGGCUAAGGUUAUCAGUCUAGGAGCUUUAUCUGCAGUUUAAUUUUCCAUGCAUUGCCAUGUAAAUAUUCAAAUUCAGAAAGAAAAUAAAAAUAAAGGUCGCAAAGAAACAACUAUGCACGGUGAAAAAUAAAGCUAGAGAUAAGUUUGAAACGAGUUUAUGAGCAUAAAUCAGUUAAAUUAUUUCACCUUUCAACACACAACUUUGCUGCUGUAGACAUUCCCAGUGGACUGUUGCUGUUAGUGAACCACCCUAUUGUCUAUGGGUGCUUGAGACUAACAUUCUAACUUGCAAUCCUUAGCGGUAGGAAACUAAAUAGGUAAAUACGACACCCGUUCCAUUUUGUGACACAAUUUCUUUUUAUCAAUUCAAAUCUGAUCAAACUCCUGCUUCUUGAAUAUGGUUAUCUGUCUAUAGGGUUGUGUACUGGACAUUUUGGCUGCUGUAGGGGUUAUUCAGACUCGCCAUUUCUAGCUGGACGUCGAGCGCAUACAGGAUGCAAUCCAGAAUGUCUUGAUUAUCGUAGAAAGGGUUAUCUUCUUGGUCCUCUAGCAAUAUGUGUACCAUGUCGCUCCGUACAGUGGCGCUGACAAGGCGAAAUCCGUGAAGAAAGAAUGAUUCAGGGCUUCGUGCCAAGCAAUAACUGCAGCUGGUUCUUGUAUGAUUUUGUGUGUAUGUGCUGGGAGUAUUGAUUCUAGGUGUUAUAGGAUAUGCAUAUUUCCUUGUGAACAUGUGUAGAGUGAGUAGUUGUUAUAUGCCUUGAACAUUAGAAAACCAGAUGACGAGGAACGACAUAUAGGAAAGCUACUGUUGUUACCGUGUUGUGAGAUUAUGUAAAGCCUGAACAAAGAGAAUUUUGGGGGUUCCACUCGAAUUUGGUCUAGAAUAAAUGGUUGUUUCCUAUUGCUUGUUCAAAAACUUGUCUGAAAUUAUUAGAGUGAUAUGAGUCCAGGUAUGGUUUGGGCUGUCUGUGUGCUUUCUCACACAAAGCUAAUGGAAAAAUGGAAAUAUUUUCAAAGCGCACAUGGUCUCAAAUGGGCCUCCACGCCAUUACAUAAUCUCGGUCUGAGGUUGCUGCUUAUUUGUUCUGCUAGCGAAGGUUUGUUCACUUCCUUUUCUAUCUAGCUGCUGCAUUGUUUUCUUUGGUAUGUGUUGUCAUGGUCAUUAGUUUAGAUUGUGUUAAUAUUCAGGAUUUGGCACAGUUGUGUUCUGUUUUGGCUCAUGCUUGCUGCUUGCGUGAUUGAACAUCUGGUGUUUUGUCCGAUCAACCAUUUGUGAACACUAACUUUCAAUCAUGAAUCAUAUCCAGAUCAUAGCCAUCAUAGAACAUUUUUACCAGAUUCCUCUUGCUAUCACCACAAGGGGAAAUUGCUUAUGGUGGCAAUAUGCUCUUCUAUGCUGUCAGAUUGACUCUUUUUAUUAGCAUGUAGACUAACUUUUAGUUCACUAAGAUUAGUUUUUGUUCACAUUGCUCUGUAUAUAAGAAAGGGAUUGUUGUGAUGAAAAGGUGUAUGACAUUCUGGCAAAACAUUGUUUAGUAAAAAUUAUGUAGAGGUAAAUUUUAGAGGUGAAAUGUUGUGGAUGUUCUGACGGGGAGAUGCUUGGGCUAACUUUAGCGUCACACUUUAUUCAAUAUCUGGGUAUUGGGUUCUACUAAUUGUCAGCACCUUUAUUUUUUGUUUUCCUCCCAAUUCCAUGAGAUAUUUAUUAGACUAUAAAUCACAUGCUUGCAAGUCAUUAUGUCAUCUUUCUCUAACCACCCCCUCCCAUCAUCUUGGCUUGCAGGUCGCCGUGUGUCUCCCGCCAGUCCGCGACAUAGCUUGCAAUCUAGGUUGGUGCCAAAUUAACUUAGGAUUGGUAUCCUACAAUGUAUUUGUGUAUUAGUGUAGCAAGCACAUGUGAAGGUGGGAUUACAUUCUAUACUCUUGAAACUAUGUAGAAUUUUGCAUGCGCAUUGUUCACUUAAGCAAAAUAGAGAUCCCCUAACUAGCAGAUCAAUGUUGGCUAUGAUCGCAUUUUUUUUACAUUGUCAUAUUUGUAGAUAUACUGUCUGAUGGAGUAUCAUCUAGCUGCCUUUGGUCGCACUUAGUAUAAAAGUC